CCAACAUGGCGGCGCCCUGGCUGCGCGCUCGAGAGCGGUUGCGGCGCAUCCCCGAGGUGCUGGCGGGCUGCCGGGACCAGGGAAAGGCGGCUGCGAAGUGACACAAGUGGAACCAUGAAUGAUCCAGGACCUGGAUUUAUAGCUGCUCUGGGGCUCGGCCGGCUGGAAUCGGGGCAUUUCCGAGCCUGACAGCAGCUGCCUGCUCUCAAAGGAUUAGAUGGGAAGGAAGGAAGUGGACCAGUGGGCUAGACACAGGAAAGCUGCAGGCCCCAGUCAGGUCACAAACUAGGCCUGUCAAUAAAGGCCUGGAAAAGGCUUCUGAAACUGCU